GGGAUUACUACUCACCCAGUAUAUGGUCAGCUCUAACUACAUAAUGUCAUGAGGAAUGAAGGAUAUAUUUGGAAAAGAAUGUAGUGUGAUUAACAAUCUGUAAAUUCUAAACUUGAGAAAGUUUUAUUCCUAUGGCAAAGAAUCUGGAAAAGAUGUUUUCCUGAAAUCCGUGCAGCCAUCAGCAUUCACCAUUGGUCUAAAACUAACAGACAAUCCUAUAAGCACUUAAAGACACAGAAAGGAGAUGAAUUUAUGCACUGGUUUUUCAAGCAGGAAGAUAAUUAACGAUGACUCUGUACAUUUGUUUAAACUUCUUUCAGAAGAGGCUUGUGAAAGGUAUAUUAGAACGACAAUGGCAAGCUGAUUCUACUUUUACCUGGAUGUUUCCAUUAAUAGGUGUAUUCCUUUAGCAGAACAUUCUUGAAUUCCACCAAUCCCUGUGAACGAUAGUAAAGAAGAGUCACAACAUGCUUUCCCUGAAA
rnacentral:lncRNA from 1 species